rnacentral:rRNA from 1 species
AUCGGGUCGAUUUAGCAUGCUAGUUGCGCGAGUUCAGACUCGCAGCAGAUAGCUCAGUAACACGUGGUCAAGCUACCCUGCAGACACGGACAACCUCGGGAAACUGAGGCUAAUCCGCGAUACCGAUCCCACGCUGGAAUGCCGGGAUCCACAAACGCUCCGGCGCUGCAGGAUGCGGCUGCGGCCGAUUAGGUAGACGGUGGGGUAACGGCCCACCGUGCCGAUAAUCGGUACGGGUUGUGAGAGCAAGAGCCCGGAGACGGAAUCUGAGACAAGAUUCCGGGCCCUACGGGGCGCAGCAGGCGCGAAACCUUUACACUGCACGCAAGUGCGAUAAGGGGACUCCGAGUGCGAGGGCAUAUAGUCCUCGCUUUUGAGAACCGUAAGGUGGUUCUCGAAUAAGAGCUGGGCAAGACCGGUGCCAGCCGCCGCGGUAAUACCGGCAGCUCAAGUGAUGGCCAAUCUUAUUGGGCCUAAAGCGUCCGUAGCUGGCCGUGAAAGUUCGUCGGGAAAUCCAUCCGCUCAACGGAUGGGCGUCCGGCGAAAACUUCACGGCUUGGGACCGGAAGGCUCGAGGGGUACGUCCGGGGUAGGAGUGAAAUCCUGUAAUCCUGGACGGACCGCCGAUGGCGAAAGCACCUCGAGAAGACGGAUCCGACAGUGAGGGACGAAAGCUAGGGUCUCGAACCGGAUUAGAUACCCGGGUAGUCCUAGCCGUAAACGAUGUUCACCUAGGUGUGGCACAGGCUACGAGCCUGUGCUGUGCCGUAGGGAAGCCGAGAAGUGAACCGCCUGGGAAGUACGUCCGCAAGGAUGAAACUUAAAGGAAUUGGCGGGGGAGCACUACAACCGGAGGAGCCUGCGGUUUAUUGGACUCAACGCCGGACAUCUCACCAGCUCCGACUACAGUAAUGACGGUCAGGUUGAUGACCUUACCACGAGCUGUAGAGAGGAGGUGCAUGGGCGCCGUCAGCUCGUACCGUGAGGCGUCCUGUUAA